GAGCGUCACACGCGUGAUGACGUGUUGACAUGCACGAUGGGGCACUUGUUGCCCGACCCGUGAGGGAGAGGUCGCUGACGAGACGAUAAAAGUGAGUCAGCCACCGCUCUCAUCAAAUCUAUCAACGCGACGAUGACAACAAAAUGACAUGCAUGUAAAAGUAUGCCACAAGCCGAUGUUGAUAUAUACAGGUUGCUGCAGAGAUGAAGGCGGGUAGAGCGUUGGGUGGUACAAUCUCACCUGUCAAUCAACGAUAAGUACAGGAAAAUCUCGACGGAGUCAACAGGAAUAGGCUCCACGCAUCUGGAAUCGAAACCGGAAUUUCCCGAGCGAACACUGCAACAACUUGGCUACCCUACCGCCUUUCAGCACAUCGAAAAGGGUCAACAGUGGCAAUAAAUACCAAAUACAUACAUUUAUAUGUUCCAUAAUAAUCCACAGACCACAAGCCGUGUCAAACAGAGAGUGCAAGGGAUUAGAAACGAAACGAAAACAUUCUCGUUGCGUUCCAAUGGUGAACGUGGAAAGUGUUCCCGAUACAUCCAUUAAUCGGCUUGCUGACAGUCACCCGCAUCUGUUGAAAGUCCGUGUGAGACAAGCAAGGACGCUUUCAAUACUACCGAGUUACGUAUUGUGAAUGUAGACAUACACCCAAACUACACAGCAUUUGAUAGGGCUGUUGCUUAUAUUCCGUGAUAAGUCAAACUGGUUAUUCACACCCUGUGCGUUUAAAGAACAUGAACCAAUACAGUAUCCCUGUCUAAGACUGGGUAGUAUGUGUCGACGAAGACGCAUGUGGCCUCAGACAAGUCUGCCCCUUCACCCUGCCUCUGUGUGAAUCCACACUACUGCUCAUAUAUGUGUACCUCAUUAACACGGUAAAUUUCCGGAAACGUAAUAUCGAUAAUUCCGGAAAACGUUCUGCAGAAUUUCUGCGGUAGUUUGGCAGAAUUAUGAAGAUAUCCUUAAUGAAAAUCGCCGGUCGUUCGAAUAACGAGGCGCGUUGACGUAUUUAAGGCCUUCCACUUGGGGAAAGGAUACGUUUGUAGAAUUAAACGCUACCUUCGUAUAAUUACCAUACCGUGCGAAUGUGGUAUGACAGACAUUUCGAGAAUGCUUCGAGACAAAAAGAGCCUCUGAGGUUAGUGUUGAGAGGUAGUGUGGCAUUCUCGUACAAGCUCUACAUUGAUGUCUACUAAAUUCUAAAAUGGGGAUUCACAGUCUGAUUCAAAGCGCAACAGCCUUUAAG